rnacentral:tRNA from 1 species
GUCCUCGUAGCUCAAUUGGACAGAGCGCAGGCCUCCGAAGCCUGAGGUUGUGGGUUCGAGACCCGCCGAGGAUA